rnacentral:rRNA from 1 species
AUUGAACGCUGGCGGCAUGCCUUACACAUGCAAGUCGAACGGCAGCACGGGAGCAAUCCUGGUGGCGAGUGGCGAACGGGUGAGUAAUGUAUCGGAACGUGCCUUGUCGUGGGGGAUAACGUAGCGAAAGCUACGCUAAUACCGCAUACCAUCCAAGGAUGAAAGCGGGGGAUCGCAAGACCUCGCGCGACAAGAGUGGCCGAUAUCAGAUUAGGUUGUUGGUGGGGUAAAAGGCCUACCAAGCCGACGAUCUGUAGCUGGUCUGAGAGGACGACCAGCCACACUGGGACUGAGACACGGCCCAGACUCCUACGGGAGGCAGCAGUGGGGAAUUUUGGACAAUGGGCGAAAGCCUGAUCCAGCAAUGCCGCGUGCAGGAUGAAGGCCUUCGGGUUGUAAACUGCUUUGUACAGAACGAAACAGUCUCUCCUAAUACGGGGGCGAAUGACGGUACUGUAAGAAUAAGCACGGCUAACUACGUGCCAGCAGCCGCGGUAAUC